rnacentral:lncRNA from 1 species
UUUUUCUUUUUUUCUUUUUUGGUUGCUCUGCAGCAUGUGGAGUUUCCAGGCCGGGGAUCGGAUUUGAGCCACAGUUGCAACCUAUGCUGCAGCUGCGGCACUGGUAGAUCUUUAACCCACUGUGCGAGGCCAGGGAUCGAACUUGCAUCCUGGUGCUCGAUCCUGGUGAUCGAACGCCGCUGAUCCUGUUGUGCCACAGCAGGAUCUCCUGGGGUUACUUUUAUUUGCUCAGUGUCUGUCAUGUGGGGAGAGACAUUCCACACCAUUGAAGAGCAGAACAGUAAGAAAGGCAGAAUAACAUUCCCCAAGGAUGUCUACAUCCUGAUCCCCAGAACCUAGGAAUAUCACAUGCAAGAGGAAAUUAAGGUUGCAAAUCAGCUGACCUUAAGCUGGAUUAUCCAGGUGGUCCCAAUGUCAUCACAAGGAUCCUUACACAUGAAAGAGGAAGGCAGGGGGGUUGAAGUCAAGAGUGACAUGACCUGAUGUGAGGAAGACUCUACUGGGCAUUUGUCGGCUUUGAAUCGGGUGAAGGGGCCACAAGCCAAGGACUGUGGCUGGCCUCUAACAGCUGGAAGAUGCCAAGAAACAGUUUCUUCUCUAGAGUCUCCACCAAGGAACAGAGCACUGCCAACACCUUUCUUUUAGCCCAGCGAGGUCCAUUCUGGACUCCUGGACCCCAGAACUUCAAGAUAACAUGUUGGCAUUACUUUAAGCCACUAGGUUUGUGGGCACUUGUUAUAGCAGCCCUAGAAGACUAAUUCAGAUGGGGUUUGUACUUGCAAGACCCCAGUGCUGUGGAAAUGGCUUUGACCAGGCUGUCUUCCUGGAGGGAUGGUUCUUUAAGCUCUGUGUGCAUGUAUAUCACCUGGGGUUCUCGUCUCAAUUCAGAUUCCUGGGCCCUUCCCCAGAGUUCUAACUCAGGAGGCCCAGGAAUGCUUUAGAAAUGAAAACUUUAGGUGAUUCUGAUGUAAUUUUUUAAAUAAUAGCUAUAUUGAGAUAUAAUUCACAGUUGAAUUCACAUACAAUCUCCCAGGUAGAAUGUGCAAUUCAAUGGUUUUCAGUAUCUUCACAGAGCUAUGCAAUCCUUUCUGCAAUUUUAGAACAUUUUCAUCUCACAAAAAGAAAUCACAUACACUUUACCUGCUCAAUGACCCACUCUCUCUGCCCCCUACUAACCAGCUUUCUCUCUCUAUGGAUUUGCCUAUUCUGGAUGCUUCAUAUAAAAGGAGUCACACACUAUGUGACCUUUUGUGUCUGGCUUCUUUCACUUAGCGGGAUACUUUCAAGGUCUAACCACAUUGUAGCACAAAUCAGUACUUCAUUCCUUUGAAUUGCACAAGAAUAUUACAUGGUGUGGGAAGAAGACAUUUUGUUUAUCCACCCACCUGCUGAUGGACACGUAGGUAACUGCAUGAUUUUCCCAAAAGCACCUUCUGGAGCCACACAGCCAGGUGAGUGGUGACUGGGUGAUUUAGCAUUCCCGUCUGCAGGUGUGGAAGGAGGUUCACAGGGGUUCAGAUUACAUGCUCAAUCUCACCCAGUUUACUGGUGACAGAGCCCUGGUAGGUCCAAGCCCCCGACCCACCAUCCAGUGACAUGUACCUCAUGGAGGUGUCUGCACUGAAGGUUACACAACUGGCAGAAGGAAAGAAAACAGGAAACCCCCUCCUUCCAUCUGUUGAACCAGGCUGCCCCAUGCUGGCUCUGCUACUGAGCAAUGACCCAGGAGAUCCCCUUUACUGAGCACUAAGAACCUUCUGUAGUAUGUCACCUUGUCGAACCCUAAGACAGCAUCAUGGGAUGUGCCUAUUCCACCCCACCCCCACCCACCACUAUCGGCGCAAGGAAUGAGGGCUUAGAGAAACAAUACCUGGCUGCCACACAGGGUUCUCAGAUGGUUUUGUACCUCAACGUCCCUUGUGGACAAGGUGGGCCCAGGAAUAGGCCUUUUAAAUAAGGGCCUAUGUUGCCUCUGAUGCAUCAUCUGACCACCACACAUGAAGAAACCAUGCACCACCCCAAACAUCUGGGGCAGGUGAGGGGGCUGCGGGUACUCACAGGAGACUCCUUCAGCAACUCCCUGAAGUCCUUUCACAAAAGGCAUGGCAGGCUGGUGCCCAGGACUGUGCAGGGACUUGAGAGGCCCCUUUGGAUGGAGAGGAGGCUUCUCACGGCCUCGCUGUCCCCAGGCACCUGUGGGAACAGCUUCCAUACUUGGGUGCAGGGACGGAGACCCUUCCCUGAGGGCCACCUUGGUGCCCUUCCUCAGGCACAGACCAGAGGAAAACUCGGUUCCAGCACAUCCUCCACUAUUAAGUAUUGUCCCUUCAGCCACCUGACCUUCAGGCAGGCCCUGCCCUCCAGCGUGCUGGGAGGUGGCAGGGCUGGGAUUGGAUGCUGAGCCGGGCAACUCGGGGACCAGGAACUCACCAGCAGGGCAGUCCUGUGGCUGUGACCCUGGUAGACAGCUCAGCUCCUCCCCAGGCAUGGGGUGGGAGUAGGGGGCAGGAUCUGCCAACCCUUUCCUCCUCCCCUCCCUCAUUUGCUCUUGAGGUGGCUGAAAGUUCAAAUGAGACCCCCGGCAGAGUGCCUGGGAGGCAACACGCUAAAUACAUGUUGGGGUUCAGAGUCAGCAUAGCCAAUAAUUUGGGGCUUAUUUGGGACGGGAUGCAGCAGGCAACCCCCACCCCCAUCUGGGCCAGCCAGGCUGGGCAGGGUGGGGGUAAGAGGUGGGCCCAGGAGCCUCCCCAGGCUGUGCUGACUCAGCAGCCAGCCAGGCGCUUCGCUGACUGGGCAAUCUUCCCUGCUCUGUGCUGUCUCCUGCAGCCCUCUCAGCGCUGGCUACGGACAGCAGGGACCAGAGAUGGGAACCAGAGCCGGCUCCAUCCUUCAUGCAGAAAGAAAGAUGUGCAAGUGAAGGAAAGAGGCCACUUCUCAGCUGCUCUUUCAAGCCUCUUUAAGCAGAGGAAAUGUUCCUUCUGCCAAAGAGACCCCAGGGUGGGGGUGGGAGAGAAAAGUGCUUUGGGGGCUUCCACGUGCCCCACUGCAUGUCAAAACAGGUGAAAAUCCUGGGCAGGGUUUAGUGUUUUGACCUGGUGGGCAGAGAAGCCUGAGGAGGAGGAGCAGCUCCCCGACUCCCACUGUAUCAGGCAGGGGCUGAGUUGGUGGACUCCAGUGGGGAAUUAAAGAGCCCCUCGGAAUUGCCUAGCUCGACCUUCUCAUUUUCACUGAGGAGGACGCUCAGAGAGGACAAGGUCACAUAGCAAGAAGGAACAUGGCUGGGCCUAGAGCAGGUCCUAAGACUCAGAGCAGCGUGGGGGGAAGGCAAUGUGACUCUCCAAAGCUGGUCCUUGGACCGUUGAUGUCAGGGUCACCCACAUUCUCGUAAGAUGAGAGUUCCCGGGACCCACUGAGGGAAAAUCACAGGGUGACUUUUAUGUGCUCUCGGAUAUGGGAGUUUCUGCUACAGAGGUUGCAAGUGGGGCUGGAGAUCUGGGUUCAGAUCCUGUCUUUGGCUUUAGGCAACUACUUGGUCUCUAAUCCUUGGUCUCCAUCUGUAUAAUGGGUACGUGAAACUUUCCCGGGAAGGGUUUAUGCAGUGCUGGUACGUGGAGGGUGCUCCAUGAUGGGCAAGUAUGCCUCUGGUCACCUGUUAGCUCAAGGCCAGCUCCUGUCCUGGCUGCUUCUUGGUGGGGACUGGGUGGAGGGCAGUGUCCUGCAUCCGCUGACAUGCAUGGGGGAUGCUGUGCUCAGCUGGUGAUAAAGAGGACACUUUGGUGACUGUCCUUGGCUUGUCCCCCUGGGCAGGUCUAAACCCCAUGGAGGGAGGGAGCACAGAGAGGGCCCUGAGUCUCAAGCCCAGUCACAAGAUGUCACAGGGUGGAUUCCUGGGGAGAGGGAGGCAGGCACAGAGCGAACUCACCACCGUGGGGUCCCCUGGCUUGCUGGUCAGCAGGAACAGGAGAGUGCUUGCCGAGGAGGGAGUGCUGGUGGACUCAGAUCCUGCAGUGUGCAUGCAGGGCUGAAUAGCCAGGACCCUCCAGAGAGGUGUGGUGAGAUCUGAGGAUUGGCUGACAGCAGAGGCCCCUACCCUCUCUGUCCUUGGUGUGUCUUUGCGCCAUGCAGCCUUUAUUUCCUGUUGCGGAAGGUGCAACCAUGAGACUCAUGGCUUUAGAUGGGCUUCUUGACAUUCAAAAGUCAAGAACAGAAUUUUCUCGAGAUGUACAGAUAUAGAUCUAGAUUUAGAUAUAUCUUUAGAAACAGCCACAUGAGGCCACAGUCUCUUUGGGGAGGACUUGGGGACUGCAGGGCAGUCCUGGCUGCUGGGGAGGGAGCGGCCAAGAGAUCAGGUACAGAAUGAACCAGAGCAGUUUUCUCAAACUUGGCCAUACAUCUGAGCUACCCAGGAAGUGUUUAAAACCCCUAAUGCUCGGACCACACCCAGGCCCCAGUUAAAUCAAAGGAUUUUAAUUCUCCAGGUGAUUCCAAUGCACUAUCAAGUUUGAGGAUCACUGUCUCCAUCCUAGCUGCAGUUAGCUUCACCUGGGAAGUUUAAAGCCUGGAAUCAGAAUCUCUUGUGGGGGGGGGGUCCCCACUGUGGCACAGUGAGUUAAGAAUCCGACAGCAGUGGCUCAGGUCACAGCGGAGGUGCAGGGUCAAUCCCUAGCCUGGCGCAGGUACAGAAGGUUAAAAGAUCCAGCGUUGCCACUCAGUCCCUAGCCUGGGAACUUCCACAUGCUGCGGGUAGAAAAAAAAAGGAAAAGAAUCCCUUGAGGGGUAGGGCCCAGUUGCUGGUGUUUUUGAAAAGGUGUUCCAUCUUGCUGUAUAGCACAGGGAACUAUUAUCUAGUCACUUGUGAUAAUGUGAGAAAAAGUAUAUAUAUCUAUGUAUUUAUAUAGAUACAUAUAUAUAACUGCAUCACUCUGCUGUACAGCGGAAAUUGACAGAACAUCAUAAAUCAACUAUAAUGGAAUUAAAAUCUUUAAAAAGUUUUUUAAAAAGAAAGAAAAGCUGCCUCCAGGGUGGAGUAUCACAAAUAACAUCAUGGCCGUGGUGUGAUUCCUCUGCCACCUGGGUGCACAGGUGUGACUCUGCUACAGUGUUUUUUGGGGGCAUCCUGGCGCCGAGACCAAUUGCCCGGCAGCUGUGUGGAAAGAAAAGACGCAGCUCAUUAAACCUGUAUCCCACAGAUCAGAGUGGCACUUCAGCCUUGAGGGCUGCAAUGCCAGUGCACCUAGGGAUGGUUCACAGGUAGCACCACAAGUCUUCUCCAAGGCUGCCGAUUACCUCCCCUCUGCCUCUUCAACUAGGCAGUGUUUGGGGCCUCACAGGCAGAGCCACCCUCUGAAGGGACAAUUUCAGCAAAGGAAGCAUUACGAAUGUGGGAAGAAUAUCAGUGUGACCCUGGGCAAGACACUCUCUGGCUUUAGUCUUUUUCUUUUUAAGAAGGAUGGUAGUUUUUUGGCCUUCCUUGAAGAGGAAGCAUGCUUCAGACACUCUGAAAAAGUCAGGUACAAUGAGUUUUUAGAAGAUGAUAGCUCCAGGAGUUCCUGUGUGGUUCAGCAGGUUAAGGAUCUGGCCUUGUCACUGCUGUGGCUCUGGUUACAGCUGUGGCAAGGGUUGGAUCCCUGACCGGGGAACUUCUGCAUGCCACACACAAGAAAAGCAAAACAAAAAAAGUUAAUUGCUCCAGCCCCUCCUAGAUGUCAGAAGGCAAAAAUUGCACUGCAGAAGUGGGCUAACUGAGGCUUGGGGGGCUAAGUCUCGUGGAGCCAGGGUACAAGGUCAACAUCGUGUGCAGCCACAAUUACCCUCAAAAAUCCCCUAGUGAUCAUGAGGUUUGGUCCAUAUAGUUUUAUGCACAUGACCCUGUGCAAUAUUAAUAUAUAUUAAUAUGCAUGAUAUAUAUGCAAAUGGCCUGUAACACACUGUGCAUGAGUGCUUGCGUAUGGCAAGACAUAAUUUUAAAGAGUAUUUUUCCCCCCAUUUAAAUUGUUCACUUUUCCCUUUUUCUUUCUUCUCCUUUGUUCCAACCCGCUAAUUCUUCCCCUACAAGCUCUUUGCUCCUGGUGGGGAACCAGAAUUGAACCUUAGUUUGACUUCAUCUUUGUAUUUAAUCUCAUCCCAGAAUUUAUUACCUUCAGAAAAAGUCAGCAGUUAAACUGCCGAGGCUUUAAGCAAGUUCCAGAUUGGAGUUCUUCUUUCCUUAGAUGGCAGGAUUUCCCAUAAAAAUCCUCCAGAGGGGGAGUUCCCUUCAUGGCUCAGCGGUUAACAAACCCGACUAGGAUCCAGGAGGAUGCAGAUUCGAUCUGUGGCCUCGCUCAGUGGGUUAAGGAUCUGGCAUUGCUGUGAGCUGUGAUGAGGUCACAAACAUGGCUUGGAUCCCGAGUCACUGGCAGCUGUAGCUUCGAUAUAACCCCUAGCCUGGGAACUUCCAUAUGCCUUGACCCUAAAAAGACAAAAAAAAAAAAAAAAAAAAAA